rnacentral:rRNA from 1 species
UGGCGGCGCGCUACACAUGCAAGUCGAACGAUUAAAGCACCUUCGGGUGUGUAUAAAGUGGCGAACGGCUGAGUAACACGUGGGCAACCUGCCCCUCUCAUUGGGAUAGCCACGGGAAACCGUGGAUAAUACCGAAUACUUCGAGACUUCCGCAUGGAAGACUCGAGAAAGCUCCGGUGGAGAGGGAUGGGCCCGCGGCCUGUUAGCUUGUUGGUGGGGUAACGGCCUACCAAGGCAAUGAUGGGUAGCUGGGUUGAGAGACCGACCAGCCAGAUUGGGACUGAGACACGGCCCAGACUCCUACGGGAGGCAGCAGUGGGGAAUCUUGCACAAUGGGCGAAAGCCUGAUGCAGCGACGCCGCGUGCGGGAUGAAGGCCUUCGGGUUGUAAACCGCUUUCAGCAGGGACGAGGCGAAAGUGACGGUACCUGCAGAAGAAGCCCCGGCUAACUACGUGCCAGCAGCCGCGGUAAUACGUAGGGGGCAAGCGUUAUCCGGAUUCAUUGGGCGUAAAGCGCUCGUAGGCGGUCUGUUAGGUCGGGAGUUAAAUCCGGGGGCUCAACCCCCGUUCGCUCCCGAUACCGGCAGACUUGAGUUUGGUAGGGGAAGGUGGAAUUCCUAGUGUAGCGGUGGAAUGCGCAGAUAUUAGGAAGAACACCAGUGGCGAAGGCGGCCUUCUGGGCCAUAACUGACGCUGAGGAGCGAAAGCUAGGGGAGCAAACAGGAUUAGAUANCCUGGUAGUCCUAGCCGUAAACGAUGGACACUAGGUGUGGGGGAAUAUUUCUUCCGUGCCGCAGCUAACGCAUUAAGUGUCCCGC